ACCCUUCUCUCUGGCGGCGCGAUGGUACGAACGGGGGAGGGUCACAUUCCUCAGUUUGUCCCUUUCUCCAAACUGUUACCGGGAGGGAAACAACUGAAAUCUCCUCCAUAGUCCAGGGAAUGGCUUUAUGUUCUUCUGGCCAAAUAGGGCGGAGGUCUGACUCCUGUCUGGAUGAAGAAUUCUGCUCAGCAAACAUUUCUGGAUCUGCAUGCAUUAGCUGAUGGAUGGAGCUAUCCAGCAACAUUUUGACCUCUCAACAUUUGAAUCAUUUUGUUCUCUGCAUGUGAUGCAGGUGACGUUUCUGAGGCACCUUCAUACUUUUCGAGGAGAUCAGAAGAGAUCAAAAUGUACUCAGAAAUGAACACUGAUGAUCCUCUGCAAUUUCCUGGCGUUAGCAGCGGGGGCUGGAAGAGAAAGCAUUACCAGUUGUGAUACCUGAACUAACAUUACAAUAAUCAGCAAAGCUGGCUCUACCUGUGCCUGAAGCUAG